rnacentral:rRNA from 1 species
UACGUAGGGUGCAAGCGUUGUCCGGAAUUAUUGGGCGUAAAGAGCUCGUAGGCGGUCUGUCGCGUCUGGUGUGAAAAUCCAGGGCUUAACCCUGGACCUGCAUCGGGUACGGGCAGACUAGAGUGCGGUAGGGGAGAUCGGAAUUCCUGGUGUAGCGGUGAAAUGCGCAGAUAUCAGGAGGAACACCGGUGGCGAAGGCGGAUCUCUGGGCCGUAACUGACGCUGAGGAGCGAAAGCGUGGGGAGCGAACAGG